rnacentral:rRNA from 1 species
GGAUUAGAUACCCUAUUAUUCUAAAUUUAAAUUUUUUAAGCUUGAGUAGUAUUAGUUGGGAUCUUGAAACUUAAAGAAUUUGGCGGUAUUUUAGUCUAUUUAGAGGAAUCUGUUUUUUAAUCGAUAAUCCACGUUGGACCUUACUUAGUCUUAUUAAUUUGUAUACCGCCGUUGUUGAAUAUCUUUUUAGAGUUAAAAUUUUCUUGAUAUUUGUUAAGUAGUUAUUCAGGUCAAGGUGCAGUUAAUGAUUAAGUUGAAAUGGGUUACAAUAUUUUUAGGUAUAUGAAUUGUUAAUUGUUAAUUAAUAUGAAGGUGAAUUUAAUUGUAAUAUUAUAAAGAUUGUUGAUAUGAUUAUAGCGCUAAAAUAUGUACAUAUCGCCCGUCGCUCUCGUUGUUUUAAUAAAAUGAGAUAAG